GGGGAAGGGUGCCAUCCGCUAUUGCUUGCAAUGGCAAAUCUAGUUAUGGCACCCUCAACGGAGUUGGGGUGACAUAUUGUUAUUCUACGUUUCUUUUUUUCUUAUUAUUUUUAUUUUCUUCCACACAUUUUGUCCGCGCGAGUUCUCAGAAUUGAAUGGACCAAUGUUUAUGGAACUCAACUAUAAUGAGGAACCCCAUUUGAAGUUGUGCACCUUGCUAUGGAAUGGUAAAAGAUGGCCGCCGUUUCCAUGGAAACAGCACAAAUGCGAAAAAAAUCAA
rnacentral:lncRNA from 1 species